rnacentral:rRNA from 1 species
GACGAACGCUGGCGGCGUGCUUAACACAUGCAAGUCGAGCGGAAAGGCCCUUCGGGGUACUCGAGCGGCGAACGGGUGAGUAACACGUGAGUAACCUGCCCUUCACUUUGGGAUAACCCUCGGAAACGGGGGCUAAUACCGGAUAUGACAUGGGAUCGCAUGGUCUUGUGUGGAAAGUUUUUCGGUGGGGGAUGGGCUCGCGGCCUAUCAGCUUGUUGGUGGGGUGAUGGCCUACCAAGGCGACGACGGGUAGCCGGCCUGAGAGGGCGACCGGCCACACUGGGACUGAGACACGGCCCAGACUCCUACGGGAGGCAGCAGUGGGGAAUAUUGCACAAUGGGCGGAAGCCUGAUGCAGCGACGCCG